rnacentral:lncRNA from 1 species
AGAAAACUAAAGGAUACUACUUCUACCUCACUGCAGAGUAAAAAAAUAUUUGUCAGCAGUCGAACAGUCUUUUUGAAAAAGAAGUUUCAUGGUUAAGGUCUAAUGCUUGUAAAAUUGAACUUGAUGAAGUUCAUAAGGUGGGAGGACUGACACACAGAAUUGAAUUUGAUUGGUGAAUCAAAUUUAGAGCCAAUAGAGGCAUCAUUAACG